AGUAACACGUGGGUAACCUGCCUCAAAGAGGGGAAUAGCCUCCCGAAAGGGAGAUUAAUACCGCAUAAUAUGUUUUGGUCGCAUGACUAAAACAUCAAAGGGAUUUUUCGGAAUUCCACUUUGAGAUGGACCCGCGGCGCAUUAGCUAGUUGGUGAGGUAACGGCCCACCAAGGCAACGAUGCGUAGCCGACCUGAGAGGGUGAUCGGCCACAUUGGAACUGAGACACGGUCCAG
rnacentral:rRNA from 1 species